UGAAGGGCGGAUACAGUGACUGCCUAGACUUUCUUCUCAUGGAUGGCAGUUGCUAGGAUAUAAGAAAUCGGGGUCCCUGCAACGAACCUGGUCAGUGGCAGUCAGGCAUCACCGUAUGGUCCCAGUGUGGAGCAAUGAGCUGUUAACAAACAUCCUGGUCCCCAGUCAAGCAUAGGCUUUGAAUCCCGUGACCAGGUUCCUUCAGGUGAAAAUUGGUGAAGUAACCCAACAGUCAGUAAACAUCAACAAAAGGCUGAAAUGAUCAGGUCCAAAGCGCCCCCUCCCCCCCCAAAUAACACUGCUGGUGUCAACGUCCUGAAUACCUAAGAAUUCUUAUUAAAGUAGGUUUU